rnacentral:snRNA from 1 species
GUUUUUGCUUUGGCAGGACAUGUACUAAAAUUGGAACCAUAUAGAGAAAAUUAGCCUGGCCCUUGUGCAAGGAUGACACACAAAUUCUUGAAGCAUUCCUUAUUUUU